rnacentral:SRP_RNA from 1 species
CGUCAGGGGCUAUGGAUCGGUGACUUACAAACCCCGCCAGGGCAGGAAUGCAGCAACGGUAGUAUGCUCUCCGCUGCCGUAGUUCUCUGACGGAG